AUAUCUCCUCCCAGCUCCCGCUGUACCCCUACGCCGCCCUGCCUGCCCUGCCCGGCUUCAGCCCCUCCAGCGAUACGGCUGAUGGAGGGAGGGGAGGCGGCGGCUGGGGUUUCGUUCGACGCCCACCAGGGGCUGAGCGAGCCUUCUUCAGUGCGCAAACUCGGGGCACCAGAUAAAAGCUGGGCUGGCAGCUCUUACCCUGCCUCGAUGGAGCCGCCACUUUCGGGUGACUGGAGAAGCAGUUAGCAGCAGCGCCAUAGACUAGCGUCCCCCCACACCUUGGGCACAGAGAGUUUGGGGCUCUAAACAGCUGCUGCUGCGGCAGGAGGGAGCCGAGGGCGCUUGGCUGGGGCUGCUCGCUCGGGUUCUGCCUGUUGUUGCGCGAAAUGGCGGCUGGCGUCUUGGUGAAAGUACACUUAAAGGAAGAUUUGCUGAAAUCUGAAGAGGGAGACAGGCUCAGUCACUCAAACUACAGUGGUUCCAGAAUUUGUAAUGUGGACAGGAUAAGGAUUUUUUUCUGUGCAGUUAAUGGUGUGCUUUUUUUUGCUGGUUUCUCAGGGGAAAAGACUCAACGUGUUGAAUCACAGAGAUGUUACUUCCUGCUGGGUUUUGGGAUUUCCUUGCAGCUCUCCUCUCCAUGGCUGCAGGAGCUGUUUUUGCAUAGUGCAUGUUCUAAGGCAGGAACUUGCUGGAGAUGAAGACAGAAGCCAACCAGUUCUGUGCUGAAUGUAAUAGUUUCUGACUCAAAUUGUGGUAAUUGUCAGAAUAUCAUAGGGUGUUGUAGGAACUGCUGUGUUGAACAUGGCUGAGGAUUUAUUCUUUCAUAAUUUGCCUAAAUGAGUAUAAAAUGCUAAUCUGAAUUAACAUAUGAAAGUGGGGGGAAAGAUUUCUUGAUAUUUUCUAGCCACUUGAAACCUCAUUGUGUGCAAUAAUAGAUUUCACUGUGCUGAAGUAGUCAUGGGGUUUUUUCCCCACUUGCUCAAUCUUAACUCCCAUUCUAAUUUCCCAUAGAAAGAAAAGCAACUUGCUAUAGCUUCAAAAAUAUUAACAAAAUACUGUGAGCACUAGAAAUAUGAUAGAGUUUCAUAUUACUAUCAGUUUCACUAGGAAUUAAAAACAUGUAAAUCUGGAAAUUAUGGUAGUAAAUUGAUAUCAAGUAUUUUGACAUACAUACCUGCUUCAUACAGCUUGCUUUCCUCAUAGAAGUAUUCCUGGCAGCUUGUUGCAGUACUGAGUUUGUGUCAAGUCUAAGAUUGGUAUGUUUACUAUGAAGACAAGCUUUGAGAAUUCCUAUGAACUCUACUUCUUCAGCAAUUGUUUUUGAUAAACCAGAUCUUGCAGCUCCAAGAGGCAAACAGGAAAGGGAUGGAGGGGUGGUAGUCAAAUUUUCAGGCAGAUCAGCUCUGGUUGGAGUUAAGCUCUCUGAAUGUGGAAUAGUGUCAAACAGUGCAACUCUCCUGAAUCCUCCUUUUUCUUCAGAAAUGGCUUCAGGUAUGCUGUCUUUUUACUUUGCAGUGCUAGAGGAGAGUUCUGGAUGAAGCCAUUUCUCUCUUGUGUUUUAACCUCUCCUGUACGUUGUCUGGGCCUGGUUCAGCAAACAGUUCCAUUUGGUGGACUGUCCUCUGGUGCUGUUUGGAGGAAAGGGAAAGAAUUGCUCUCUAAAUGAGUAUCUAAAAUAUGGGACUUCAGAGGACUGCCUGACAUUGUUAAAGCUAAUGACUUAGAGCAUCUAGAAAAGCCACUUCACAGGAUAAUUCUUCCCAGCACAUUCUAUGAUAAUGUUUCCAGUGCUUUUGAGUUUGUCUCUGGGCUCUAAUGAUCCUAGGGUGUGAACUGUCACCUAAAGCACUAUCAGAAGUGCAACUUCUGACACAAUUUUAAGUAAGUGAAUCUUCCAUCCCUAGAUGUAGUUCUUGCUGGAUUUAAAAAGGCUAUAUAUUUUAAUUAGGUACCUAAUUUGAUAUAAAAUUUAAUUUGUGCCUAAUUUGAUGUAAAAAAUACUUGAAAAAAUAUUAGUGAAAAUUUUCCUUAAUGGUGGAUGACAGACAUGUAAGCUACUGUUAAACUCUGUGUGUGUGUGACUGACUGUUUGUUAAAGGAAAAGCAUGUUUUCAAAGUGUGGUUUUUGGACUUCCAGACAGAUUACACAAACUCAAGCAGGCCCAGCCCACAUCCUGUGUAGAAAACCAGCUCACAGAAAUGCUCAUUGUUCUUCAGGGUUAUAAGUCACUGUGUUUUGUGCUUCCCUUCUAUUUCAAAAUAUUGUAUGGAAAAUACUAAUGCAAAGGAACCACAGCAGCUUAACAAGUGCUUGGUCCUGCCAGGUACUGAGCACUGUGCUCUUACCAGAAGGCUGGGGACUGGGAUUAAAACAUUAGGCUCCCUGGCUGGAGAACAAAGAGUUUGUGUUGGUAAAAGUAGCUGAGAGUGUUUAUCAGGUGAGUAAAUCAAUUGAUAAUUGUCAUACUUUCAACCUGGAAGUUGUUUGUGUGCAGCCAUGCCAGUAUUUACUAUCCUGGAGUGGGUGCUACAGGAUAUGAAGUUUUCUUCAAGCAGGGUGAGUUCUCCAUGACACUGAUUCACCUCUGCUCAGUCUUCACUGCAGAAAGAGAGAAUGGGGGGUGUCCAGAUCUGAUAGCCCACCAGAAAGUGGUUAGUGUUUCUGAAUCUCUACCCAUGCUUAUUGCUGGGUUGUGUUUUUCAACCUGCAAGCUAAUGGACCUAUCCAUGAAGGGAGCUAUCAAGUCAAAAACACUAAAACCUGUUCACUCUUCCCUUUUUUGAACGUACAUUAUCAUCUUGGAGGUUAUUUUUUUAAAAACUGAGAUGCUUUCAUUUUUAACUUUAUAAACAGAAAUGGUGUUCCAAUGUUAAUUUUGAACCACUUUUAUUAUGUUUUUCUUUCUUCACAAAAAACCCAGCUUAUAUUUUUUGCUAGUGUUCAGUACCCAUUUAAGACUAAAAUAUUUGUUAUGGUAAUACAGAUGUAGCUGAGCAGAAGGCUGCCAUGAGAGUGUUUGAGGUUGUGCCCUGCUUUUCUGCACUCCUCUGAAUGGAAUCACUUCUCUUUAGUCUCUGCCAAUCUCCUGACUGUGCAGCAUUCCCAAAACAUGUGGACCAUAAAAUGGGAUUAUAGGGGAGGCAUUCAAGUAAACAGAAGUUCCCUUGGGAUGAGAUUUGCUUUUUCAUGCAGAGCUCCUUGUGUGCUGUAGCCUGGCACUGGAGUGAAUUCUCUUGGUGACCCCAAGGGUGGGAAAGCACCCAGGCCAUCCCUAUGUUUUGGGGAUAGCCUCUCCUGGCUGGCACAAUAAAGUCCCCCUUUGCAGUGUUUUUGGAAGGACACACCCAAGUGCAGGUUUCUUUCUGUGUCUCUUCAGUGUGUCUGUGUAACAAUAAAUGACCAGUCUCAUGAUGCAGCUAUAGCUGCCAGACACCUGCAGUGAAUGUACAGCUGUAUCAGGCAUUAAUGGCACAGUAUUGCUUUUGUGAGUUGUGUUCAGGGGUAAGUAGCUGCUUAAAGAUAAAAACCUUUGUGCUUCCAUAGAAGUGUACAGUUACAUUGGUGGAUAAUAUUGUAUUUCUGUGAUUGCAUGGUCCUGUUCAGCCUGUUCUGUUGAAAGUAUACAGCCUGGGCAGGCUCAGUCUGCAGUUUGAGUACUUAGGAGUCCUUUGUUGAGACUAAAUUGUGUUGGUCUCAGCAGGGAACAUUUCCAGACCAUCCAUCCUGGCCUAAAUAAGUCAGGCUGUCAUUGUUGCUCCACAGGAUGAUGCUGUGUGGGAUAUCAGGGCGCAAAGCCUUCAGACUUGUGUUCAUUUCACUGUAGCUAUGUUUCAUGUUUUGAAAGAACUUGCCACAGAUGGAUGUUGUCCUUCUAUCUCUUCACUGGCUGCUAGUCACCAGAAGAACAAUUCAGUCAGUAGUGUCCCCUUAUCAUGGACUAAUAGAAUGGUCUGGAAUUAAAGGGAUCUUAAAGAUACCUAAUUCUACUCCCUGCCAUGGACAGGGACACCUUCCCCUAGACCACAUUACUCAGGGCCCCAUUCAGCCUGCCCUUGCACACUUGCAGAGGUGGGACAUCUGCAGCUUCUAUGGACAACCUGUUGUAGUGUUUUACCAGUCUCACACUAAAGUAUUUCUUCCUCACACCUAAUCUAAACUUGCCCUCUUCCAGAUUGAAGCCCUUGUCCUAUCACUACAUGCCCUUGUAGGAAGUCCCUCUCUGGUUUUUCUGUAGGGUCCCUUUGUAUACUGGAAGACUCCUUGUUGCCAGUAGCAAGGUUUCAGAUGCUGGUGGCCUUGUCCUGGCUUCCUGGAGGUGCUGCUCUGUACCACAGCAUGGCUGCUUUUGUGCAGGGGGAAAGCUGCAAUUGCAAAUACUGUCCUUUAAACAGCAGGAAUUCAUAAAUUCCCUUAGGUGGCUGUAUUCCAGACCUGGCCUGUGUUUAUGAUGUCCCUGAUGUGCUACUCGGUAUUAGUGGAGAAUAUGAUAAGAGAUUCCUUCAGACUGGAAGACUGCCCUCUGCAUUUGGUCAGCACAGCCUCAUUUUUACUGACUUUACCUUUCUUUAAGGUGACUCUGAACAGAAACUGUUUAACUUCCUGUAAUUGUGAAGCUUUGAACCAAUAGCAGCAGUGAGAAUUUUCAGUUAUCUAAGAAACAUACACAUCAGAAAUUCUUGGGGUUUUUUUCUGCACCUGGUACAAAGAUGAGGAACAGGCAAGACAACCCAGUUCCUGCUGCUGUCAAAAGCAGCAAAUCCAAUCAUUUGUGUACCUCCUAUUAUAACCAAAGCAAAGAAUUAUUUGCUAUGGGUUCUAAAUCAGGAGUUGCUAUUUCUCUUGUUUGGUUUCUUUUUAAGGCCUUUACAAUGGGGAGCAUGCUUACAAAAUAAAGAGGGGUAAAUUUGGGGCCUGUAUCAUACCACAGGUGACUGCACUCAGGAGUAAUGUCAUUGUCACAGCUGUACACAGCUUUUGUUUCUAGAGGGUCAGAUUUUCUGCCCUCAUCUACAGGUGGGGUGUAAAUGAGAGAAAGGCUGACUUAAUUUGAUGGGAGACUGUUGGUAAGAGUCGUGGUUAUUUGAAGACUGCUUAAUCCUAUUAAAGGUUGGGAUUUUUUUUUUGAAAGUCUGAUUCAUGGGUGUGUUUUGUACUGGAGCACAUUUAAGAGCUGAGUCUGAAUAAAUCAUUUGCUACAUUUCCAUUGGUAUUUUCAUCAUAUCUUAACUGUAUGAGAGUUAAACAGGAUUAGUAAAUAAAAUGUUCUGAAGGUCAAGGAGAUUAAUAUUUUUAAUACCUGCAGGUUUUAGGAAAACAUGCUGAAUUAUAUGGGGAAGUACCAACUUAUUUAAUAACUGUAUUUUUCUAAUAAAUGUAGAUGAUAUAACUGCAGGGAACUGAAAAUGUUAUGUCAAUAACAGUAGCACCUGCUUGUAUUUCAUUUAAUUUGUGUGUGGGAUUGUUGAUGUUGUAGAAAAUGGCAGUUUAGGAGACAGCUUUUGAGGGGAAUGAUACGUUGCCAAGGCUGCAAUAUUUUGUAUUACCCUGUACAGGCUCUGUAUCAUAACUCAGAGUAUUUGAGAGCUUCCUUCCCUUUGCAGUCCACCUGCUUACCACUGCUGUCAGGAAGGUGAAGGUGCAGUGAGCUGGGUCAGCAGGAGAAACCUCACUUUCCGUGCAGUGUUUGAUUGAUGCCUGUGUAGCUCUGUGACUGACUCGUUACAGAGUCAAGUGGGUGUCAGUGCAAGGGAAGCAGGAGGGGCAAUCUCCUGAUCUGGCAGCAGCUGGCAAUCAGAUUGGCUUUAUGGUUUCAUGAAGUCCUGUCUGUAGGUUAUACCCACAUCUGUAGCUGUCUGGAAAUCCGUGGCUGUUGAAGGCUUUGCUUCCCUGCUGCCAAGUGCCACCCAUCUGAGCACUGCCACUGUUGGUCAGCUGCUUGACAAAAAGGUAGGUAGGGGACACAGACUUGGCUGGCUGUGAGCUUCUGGGAUCUGCUGGUUAGAGAUUUCUAGGACUGAUGGAGAGAAAACUGCUUAACACAUCAGGUUUAAACGGGCCUGUGUGUUCACAUUAUGAGAUGAAAUACGUGACUCUAAAGAAGCAUUAGCUCAGACCUGGGCAGCUGCAGUGUUCUGGAAAAUAAAGGAAAGAAAGACAGUUACAGGAAUGGCUUGCCAAGACAGUUGGUAAUGCACUAUUACCAACUGUAACAUGGGAGAAGAAAAAAAUAGCGGGGAGAUUUAGAAAUCCCAGCCAGUUUAUCUGGAUCAUUAGACUGGUUUUAAAGUACUGUGAAAUUUGUGGACUGGGAUAAGACAGUAGAAGGUCACCAUCACCUUGGAAAAAAAGGGUCUUUAAGCAGUGUCUCUCCAAGGACCUGGUUUUUUACUAUCUACUGUUAGAAGUGACACUAGAGAUUACUAAAACUGGAAGAAAGUAGACGAACCAAACCCUUUUCUUGUUUUCUGGUUAGCGCCAUUGUUAGCAUUCUUGGCAGAACUUCAGACGCUUUCCGUGGUUUUUCUGCUUGGUUGCACUUCCUGUCUCAUUUAUUGGCACAAUGAUGUCAUUCUCACACAGCACUGGGGAGGAGCACAGUGGUGGGCUCUGCCCCAACUCCUACAAGAAUUAUGCAAGAUUAUGACCAUUUCACCAUUUCAUUUUGUGCCCCUACAAGAAGACCUUGUCUCCUGCUCUAAUGGCUAAAAUCCAAAUGGAAGAUCUCGUUUUUGAGGUUCCCCUGGAUGGAAGUGGGAGGCAGAGCAGGAGGAAGAGGCAGCAGGAGUGCUGUGUCAUGCCAUCUUUGGUUGGAAGCUUCUUACGGAACAUCUGUGUGAGCACCUGGAGCCUGUGUAGCUCUGUGUGCCUCCAGAGCUGUGUGGAGCUGCAGAAGAGAAGGCAGGGCUAGGGAAUGUGCUUUCCCUAAGCAAACAAUGCUGUGAAAAGCAGGAAUGAGAGCUUCAAACACAUCCCUGCUCCUCUGGCCAGGCAGCCCUGCUCGUGGGAGGAAAGCACUGAGAAGGUGCUGUUUGCCCAGUGCUCUUACAUAGACCAGAAGAGCAGCAGGGUUUGUUUCUCUGGUUCUCCUGCCUGUCCCAAGAAGGCAGCACGGAUCAAACAGUUUGUCCUUGGGGAUGUUGCUGCAGGAGAGGAAGGAAUGUGGCUUCAAGAGGGGGAGCAGGUGGCCCUGCAAGCCUGGGGAGCAGCCUGAGCCUGCUGCUUGGUGAGGUCUGUACCUGUGCACAGGCCAGGUUCUGCUGUGCAAGCUGCAAUUAUGCAGGGAGCUUUAAAGUGGUAGAAAUCGGUGUGUUAAAAUGAACUUGGGAAAACUUAAAUCUGGCUCAAAGGGGCUCUUCCAGCAUGAGUCAUGUGCAGCUGUGGAGAAGCCCUGGGCAGAGCCUUCCUCCCCACUGCUGAAUGGAGCUGUCAGAGUGCUUGGAGCCAGGGCAGGGACAAAAAAUACCCCAGUUCAUUUCCUAACAAGGUAUGCACGGGAGAAUUUCCCAGGGGGCACUGGUUGGGGUUUGUGGCUCUGUUUUUCAAUCCCUCAGCUCCACAUAAGAACAUUGUGCAGCUUGAAACACCCUAAGCCCAUCCCCAGGAAGCAGACAAUGGUGUUGAUAUGCCUGUUGCUACAGAGGAAGUGGCUUCUGUUAUAACCAACAAACAAACUGCCAAAGUCCGUGUUUGGGUGGUUGCCAGAAUAAAUUUGACAUAAAAUUAUUUUGCCUCUGGCUUUUUUCUUGUUGUCUGGAGAUGUUCCUUUUGCUUCCUAACAUUAAAAUCUCACCGGUGGCAGGAUUUCCACUCCUUCCCCCGCCCCUGCCAAGAAAAAGUAAUACAGACUUUGAAAUGGUUAAUAGAGAAUCCAUUCUUUAUUUAAUAGAUGAUGAAAAUAUUCUUAAAUGCUUUCAGGUGGGUAGCAAAACUGAAGCUAAACCAUAUGUAGCAGUGGCGUUGCUCAGGGCUUUUGUCAUGCCGCUGGAAAUAUGAGAUAUUAUUGCAGAAAAGACAGUCUGUGGAAGUUGGACUCGAUGUUGGAGGCAUUAGGCGCCCUCUUGUGCUGAGCAGCUUCCCGGGAGCAGGGGCUGAGCCAAGCUUCAGCUUUGGUUUUAGGUUAGUUUGAGGGGCAGUUGGUGUGUGCUUUGGCACCUAAUCAUGACCCAGCAUGGUUCUGAUGUGGAGGAGUUACUUGCUGAUGGGUCUGCAAACUUCACUCUAGCUAUACAGUGUGGCUAUUCAAAAUGAAACUUUGAACAGAAAAAGAGUUAGUCUUGCAUCUUCCAAAAGGCAAAAAUAAAUCUUUAGAUUCACACAAAAAUAGCAAUAUCUGCUAAGUACUAAAUUUCUCUGAUGGGUCAGAUUUUAAGUUGAAUUUUGAACUUCACUGACUUAAUAAUAUGAUGCAGGUUUGAUUUUUUUUGUUUGUUGGUAGAUAUUGCUGUGUGUUUGUAAUAACUCAUUGGGCUGUAGUAGUAUCAGGAAAAUGUGCUGCAUUUCCUUGGGAGUCAUUUGUGGGUGUAGUCAAAUACUUUUUCAGAUUGCUCACUGCAAUUGUCUGAAAAUAUCUAAUUUCUCCAGAUACCAGACCAUAAGCAGAAAUGCAACUUCAGAGUAAAUGAGGUACAUCAAUUUGCAAAGUUAACUAAAAAGCUAUGUCAGAUCUGAAAACAUGGGUCUUCGGUGACUUUAUGCCUAAAGAAAGAAGUUUCACCAUUUUUUGAUAUGUAGAACUCAAAGUCAUUCAAAGGACACAAAUAUCAUUUUUCUGGCCUGAUGCAAAGUCUCAAACUUACUGGUACCUCCAGGAUGCAAACACAACUAAGCAUAACGUGUGCCUUGCCAGUACUUUUCUGGCUCUUCAGAGAUUAAAGAUGUUGCUUAUUUCAGUCUUAUUGACCCAGAGCACUUUUAGAGUGGGGUACCUGUCAUUCUGUGACAACAUUUAUAGCAAAAUAGUAGUUUAUAUCAGAUAUCUCUGCAUGAAAGCUCCUGAGGAUUGUGACCAUUUCACAGAGCAGCAGCUAGAAUAUAAAAGGAGAAUGAUUGUGCUGGGCCUGGCCGAGGUCCACCUGAUACUGAUCCUGUCUGCAGCAGACACUGUAGGCCGGUGCCUUGAUAAAAGUAUAAAAGCAUUUAUACUUGAGAGUGAGCUUCUUCCUGGACUGCUGUCCCAGCUUCCAACAGUUCUCAUGACCUGAGUUGAAUGUGUAGUUUGUACAUUUAGCAGAUCUUUGUAGAUUUAAUUCCCAAGAUUUUUCUACUGAGCUAAUACUAAACUUUUGUGCUCACAAUGGACCAAAUCCAUCAGUGCAACAAGGAUGCUGUGAAUGCAAAAGUUUGGUAUUACACAAUUUAUGACAUAACUGAAAAGUAGCAUCUUGCAUUUACAGGAAGAAGGCAGGGGGCAGGCAAGAGUGUGUGUAGCAGAGCUGCUGGCUUGCAGCAAUCCUUAUUCAGUAUUGCAGCAGUUAACUCUUGCCUUUUUAAAAAUGAGUUGUUUAAUUCCACUUUCCUAGAUGUGUCCAGGAGCCAGCUCUGACUAUUGCCACAUUCUGUCCUUGCGUGCGAGAUUAUAUUUCCAGAUAAGCAUGAAUAGAGUUCAAAUGAAUCUAUCAAUAAUCAGUGGAAAGGAUGUCAUAAUGCAAAGUCUGAUACUGUACAAAAAUAUACAAGUCCUUGAAAACAUGUAUUUGGAAAGGAACUGCUUUAUUCUUAACAUAGCUGCAGGUCUGGCAGCAACAGCUCAUGAAGAGGUGUGGGAAUUAGCUGAACAGACUCCCUGCUGGCAGGGAGAGCUGGGAGGCUGCAUGCUACUGAUAGGAGACUCCUCAUUUUUAAAUCCCUUUGGGUAAAGGAAGGUAAAUGAUUUUUCUUUGCUGAUGAAACACAUUGUGAGGCAAAGCCACAAUCGAGAAGAAAAAAAAAUAAGUGUUGAAUGGAAAUAAAAUCUCUAAACUCAAGUGAAAUAAGGUAUGUAAGACUCUGGUUUCUUUUAGGUUGUUGUAAUCUCUUAGAUUCAUCAAAAUGAAUUCAGCUAAAAGAAGAUAUAUGAGGAGGGUGGGGGAAGGAAGGAAGAGAUGACUGAAAAUGAAACAUUUUUAAUUGCUCCAUUGCUAAUUCUUUGAUUUGGAUCUGCUUAUAAUUAAGUUAAACUGUUUUCAAUGGAAUUUUUCUUUGAAGUAUUUGCAGCAAUGCAGGGUAUGUGUGGUGCUGUGCUGAGUCUAAGGAAAGGGCAAACAGAAAUACUCCCUUGUCCUGUGAAUGCCAGUGUCUUUAAGGACUCCCAUGGCUAUUAAGCAGGCACUUCUCCCAAAGUCUACAUUCUUACAGCAUCAUUUAUAGGGAACUUAAACAGCACUCUGUAAUGAUGCCCUCUGGUGACACCAAGAAUUUUUACACUACAAUGAAAUAAAAAACAAGAUAGAAUUUGGCCUGCUAAGUACUCUGGCAAGUUGGACUAUUCAUUAAGGAUUAAUGAGCAAAUCAGAGCUCCUAGAGCUCAAUCAGGCAAUAUAUAUAAGCCAUACACAUACAGAGGCCCAGGACUACCUCCAAGUGUUGUAGGAGCAGAGCUGUAAUGUGCAAGACAGUAUCUCAGCCAACCAUGCAAGUAAUCUCUUGUACAUUAAUGAUAAAAACCUGCCUUUUGGCACUGCAAAUUGAUAAUUUCUUUUCUAGUGCUUAGAGAAAAGAUAAAAUAAAAAAACCUCUUGAGCUUUUCUUGAGGCAGAGAAUGUGGAGGAUGUUAAUUGAUUGUAUGAAAUUGUAGAAAUUAACCAGCUGUGCAAAGGAAUGUCUCUUGUUUAUUCUACGCUUACUGUGGCUGCCACGCAGUCUCUGGAAAGCUGAUUUCUUCCAUGCACUGUUUCCUCUCCUGGAUAUUGCUUUUUAUAGGCACAAUCUGUCUGCAGCAUCUAAUAUCUCUACAUUUACUGCCCAUCAUUUCCCCACCAUACAGGCACACAUGACUAGUGCUGUACUGACUGGAGCUUGUGUGGUUCUUCCUCUGUUCUGGUUGAAAGGGGCUCUUUUUAUUUGCAGGGUUGUGUUAUUUUACAGCUGGAUCUGUGGUUGUAUUGUGUCUGCAGACUAGUGCAGAUGGAAGGAAACAAGUAAUUGUGGCUGGGAAUGGAUGGAGUAGGUGUGGGCAUCCCCUUCAGUAUUGCUUCUGUUUUAAGUUAUGACUCUGAAGCUAUGUCCUGAUCCAUAUGGAUGCAACACUGGCAAGGUAAUGAGAUUAUUGAGCUCUAGGGCAGGUAGCCCAACAGAAAGCCAUUCACGAGCAGAUACAAGCAAGGUAAUGAAUAGGGGAUAAGCAAAAAAACCCAAACACCCAAACAAACAAGAUCAAACAAAAAACCACCCAAAAAACAAAGCAGAAAAAAAAACCCCAACCAACCCCCCCCCCGAAAAAAAAUCCCAACCCAAAACAAAAAAACCCCAAAACAAAAAAAACCCAAAACUCAAAUUCCCCACCCAAAGCUGUGUUAAUAACUUUGUAUGAGGUGUGAAGUAUUAACUAAUUACUUCGUCAUUUUGAACUGAAUUGUCAAAUUAGGCUUAUACUCCCAAUAACUGUAUCAAUAACUCCUCUGCUUUUAAGCCAUCUUCCCCCAUGCCAUGCUUGGGAGAGGAUGCAUCUCUUCCCAUUCAUGUCUUUUGCAAAACAGCCCCUUAGGCAGAGUGUAGAUCAACUGGGUUUUAUGCAUAUUUUCUCUAAGAAAAGCUAAAGGAGUAAACAAAAUAUUUGUUCUGACAAGAUGCCUACUUUGAUCGUAAAUGUUAAGAUCAGGAGGUGCAAGUAUGAUUUUAUUCUUACUUCCCCAACAGUACAAUCUGUAGAAUCUUCUUCACUAAAUUCUUCAUUAAGUCAGUAAUUUCCCUUUCAACUGCAGUUUGUAUUUUAGGAAAUACCUUACCUUGAUUUUACAGGCCAUUUAGUAUCUGUAGAGGAGUUUGUGAUACCAUUUUUAGGUCUGAUAAUGCAUCAGGUAAGGGCUGCUUUUCUGUACUAAAAUUUGCAGUGUUUCAGUGUCUUGCAGUCACACAGUGCUUUCUCCUGGCCUGAACAGUUACCCAGGUUCUUUGAGGAGGAGAAUAUACCCUUUGAUAAAUUCAUACAUCUUUAAUGCAGGAUCUAUGAUUGCAGCACACCAAAAUUAGUACUUUUCUUAGUGGCCAUGCCCAGCCUUUCAUUUCUAGCUAAGCUGAUGUUUCAAAGAGCCCCUGCUUCCUUCAUGACCAAAACUAGAGUUGCUUACUCUGCCUGCUGGCCUGCUGGUUCUUACACACAGGCUCAUGUAGCUCAACCAGUUGUCUUCAAGCUCCCCUUUCUAUUGCAAAUUUAUAUUCCACGUAGCGUACCUGAGCAGUGAGUUUUGCUGUUUCCAACCAUCUUCCUCCAUAAAGGAACUUCACUGCUCUUCAGUUUAGCCUCAGCGAAGCUGUCAGGCUCACUGCCCUGUCUUCAUCAGCUGGGAACUGAUAAAGGUACGUGUGAUGUCUUGUGCUUUCCACAGUCUGACCGCCUUUGAGGUCAUGAAAACAGCAGUAGAAGGAGACGUGGGUUUUGGUAUUGUUGUAUGACUGGUUGUAGAAUAUUGUCCAUUUUCAGCUGUACAGUAGGUCUGUUACACAGUUUGCUAUCACAACACAAGGAAUGUGUAGAACAGAACUGAUACUAAGUGGUCUGCUUUUAUUUUUCCAGUCCUCUCCAUCCAUGAGUUAUUCUGGUUUAGCAGCUGGAGUAAGACCAAGAAAGGAACUUGUAUUCUACAAGGAUUUGGGGGACAGCUCUGAAGCUCAUAAGCUUUUGGAUGUAAAUAUGCUUGUAUAUUUUUUUCUUAUCCUAUGCAGAGAGAACUCUAAGGCAGCAUUUUCAAGAUUUGGGUAAACUGGUAUAGGGAUUGCUGGUAUAUAGAUAUACCAGCAGUAUAGAUAGCUCCUUAGGGGAGGCUGCCAAAGGGAGAUUUUUACCUCAGCUGUGAUUCAGGUAAUUUGCCCUCUUACCUGUCAGUGUGUCCAUCCCCCCUCUCUUCCCUGCUCUCCCUGUGGUUUGUAUUUUUAUUCUUGCUCAUAGCAGCAUUGGUUCAAUUUUCACACAGGCUUUCACUGCACUGAGAUUGUUUCUUACACAGGUGAAAGAGCUGCUCCUACAGAUCAUCGUCCUGGGCAGCAGAGGUAGCAACUUAGCCCAGGACAGCUUGAAACUUAUCAGUUAGCUGAAGCUGCUGGGCAAAUCAGAUCACCAUAUUCCACUUCUCUCUGCGCUUUGUUAUGGUAGGCUUAGGAGUUCUGAACAGAGAGGUACUGGCUACCAGAGAUGGGUUGUAGAAAUACAGAGAACCAUGCAGAGCUGUAGAGAAGUUUCACAGCUGAGGUACGUGGAGAAUUAUCCUUCGAUGCCAUCGGUGAGAAGGAGUCUCCAGUCAGACAACUCCUCCACUGACGUGUUGAGGCAAGUGACUCAGCUCUGCAGUGGAGAAGAAUGUCCCUAGUGCAGCUUUCCCAGAAACACCUUCACCUGGAGGUUCUUGCUCAGGAAUUAAUUUGCUUGUGAAAACUCAUCAGUCCACAGAGCCUGGGGUGACAGAGUAGUGGGCAGAUUGCUCUCGUGGGGAUGAGGAUGCACUGCUGUAAGCAAGCCUAAUUAAGUCCUCUGACGAACUUUCCAGCAUAACUGCAUCAGUAAUUGUCAGCAUUUAUGAAGUAAAUAAAGUUUAGUUGUUCUCUCAGUCCUGAGAGUUGCAGAAGUUUAUAAUCAUCCUAUCUUAUCAGGAAUGAAAUACAUUGAGACCUAUUAAAGCAGGCAGCGGUUGCCAUUCACUGGUGGUUUGUUAACAAAUAAAAGCUUUCAAAAGCUUUUGAAAGAAAUAACACAAGAUGAGUCUGGCAGCAGUCAACUGACCUGUAAUUUUAAGAUUGGGGAAAUGAUUAGAAAAAGGAAGCAGAGCGUAGCAGAACUCACAGCCUGGUAAUUCCCAUGAGCUUAUCUGGAGCUUGAGCUGCUAUCACGAGUGAGACCCUGAGUAUCUGAGUCUCCUGAAUGAUACAGGUUUGCAUUGCAAGUCACCCUUCUGGGAAAAAGAAAAUACAUGAAUGUUUCUGACAGAAUAGUUUUGUGAGCAGCUUUUUCCCUUCUAAGACAUCAGCUUUAUAAAUAGCACUGAUACCAAGGUCUAUAGACAUUAUCUCCUAGCCUUUUUUUUUAAAUUGAAAGUAAUUUGCUUUUGAAGAUGAUCAUUGCAGGGAGUGGCCCAGUUAUGAAGAUACUUGGGCCAAAUCUUCUGAAACUCCUGUAAACAAGUUUUGCUUGAUUCUGGCAGCACAAACCAGUUUUAAACCUGGUUUGAAAUGGCUAGCAUUCAUGGAAGCACACUGCAUAUGGCAAUGGGCAGGGGGAAAAAAAGUGCUAUAUCAACAGAUACCUGCUAUCAAGAAGCCCAGUUGGCAAGCAUUAUGUAGGAGAAACAGUCUGGAGUCAACACCUGAAAGCUGACUUUUCACGUGGAACAGGAAACUGAUGAAUGUCUGGAGCAUCUGUUUUAUUUGCUGUCAGCUUUUCAAUCUCCUAAACAAGAUAGAGUGACACAUGGAGUUUGUGAGUCCCUGUGCUGGCAUUGUGAACACUCCUCUGCACAGAAGAGGGUGGUGAAGCAGAAUAAUUAAAGCAUCCCACUGUGCAGCCAGAUGUGCAAGUUUAUGUCUUCAUUUGCUAGCCCCUCACCAAUGAAGGUGAAAGAGGUCUUUUGGGAUCAGUUAAGUCCAAGGAAGCCAGGUGGUAUAUUAACCUCUUUCCUCCAGGACAGAGUUAACUGCAGAAAUGGAAGUGUCCUGUCCUUGUUCACCUGCUAGAUUACUCCAAUCUAGCAAACGUUUGAACUUUUCUGCCUGGAUUCAUUCAAACUCUUAAGUUGGUAUAAAAAAAUACAUCUGUUGCCAUGUACCCUUAGGAUGCUUCUUGACUUCCCAGGAUCAUCUGUCUUACAGUAAUACUUUCAACAUGUGCUUCAGAGUGAGGCACAAGCCCAAAGGGAUUCACUGGUUGUGUGACUGCAAAGGGACAUUCUUCUUUCCUGGCUCUGACAUAUAUACCUUGGGCAAUAUUUGAUUGAUGCAUAUGGUAAGAUAUCAGCAUGCGUUGGUUAAAUGUAUUCAAAAAAGGUUGUUCAAUUGCUAUUGCAUAAGAAAAAAAUCAGCUUGUCCUUUUGAAACACCCUGGCAUGGUUGGAUUUGAGAAUUAUUUAUUAGGGAGACUUUAAAGUAGAUGAAAAUAAGAAAUCCUAUGAGAAACAUUUCUGGUGGUUUCUUACAUUUUCUCCACCCCUCCCUCACCCUGAACUGUUCAAUAUGGUUAGAAGGAAAAUCCUUUCCAAACCCUUUCAAUCUAAAAUAUCAUCAGAUGGAGCAAAAGGAAAGCUGAACUUGCCCCAGAAGCAUUCCCACACUGAAAUAUUAAAUACUCCAGCCCCAGAGCUUGGGAUACAGGGAAACUAUGAGUAGCAAGAUGUCCAUACUAUUGUGGAGGGGGGAUCACAGCGUGUCUCAUGCCUUGGAUGCUUCAGGGGACAAUUUGGCAGAGCAGCAGUUAUCCCUCAGUUCAAUGAUGUGGUGACUCUGGUGACAAUACCAGCCUACAGUCUUGUUGUCUGUCCCUCCUUGCUGGUUUCCAUGCCAUAGGACACAAUACUUGUGGCUGGAUUAAAGCAGGUUCCUACAGACAGCACUGAAGACCACUCACAGGGCAGGGUGUUUAGGGUUAGGUGUCCUUUAAACCCAGCACUGAUCAGAUUUACAGCAGGACUCCACAAGCAGCUGCAUGCAGGUGGUGGCCUCCCCAUUGCUGGGGUGGUAAGGGUGCACUGUGCUGCAUAAGGUCCUUGCUUUAAGCCUGUAGGAAUGUUCUAGAAGGCUCUGCUCCAGCUUCAACUCCAUCCAAUCAUCAUCCUGGGAAAUAAAACGUCAGAAAAUGUAGAGUCCCUGUGCUUCAGAGCGGCUGAGGAGGCACAGGGAGGGUUCAGAUGUGGGUAAUAAUUUGCUGUCUAAGCUCCACCAAAACUGCUCAGUGAGCUUUUUUAUUGAACAGCACUGCCACAACACUGCAUUCAGUUACAGGAUUUGAGGAGAGUUUAAAUUCAACAAUGAUGGAAAUACUAAAUCUACUAAACAGCUAUAACUUUUUCUUGUCAUACUGGACAGGAGAGGAGAUAGAAAACAUUUCAUGUACUGCAAGAUCAGGUGAGAUAGAACUAUCUCAAGUUUUGUAACACAGGUCUGGAUUUCUAACUGCUUGCUAAGAAAAAAGAAAAAAGUCAGGCUUUUCUCUUACUCUAGUCAACUAUGAGUACAAGCAAUUAUGUAAAAACUCAUUUUUCUAUGACAUUUAUCAUUACAAAGAAGAGAAACUGCAUACCAACAUUUAUUAUAAUUUCAUUAGUAUCCAAGUAGAUCUAAUUUAUGUGGAGGUUCUGUUUCCAAGAUGAGGAUCAAAUGAAUCUCAUCUGACAGACAAUUGAGUUAUAAAGGCCUCACAUGAGAACUGUUCUCCAGCAGAAUGUAAACAAGACAUGCUGAUUAAUAAGGUCAGACAUACAGGAGGGAGCUAAAUUAUGGCAGGACUCAUCAACCAGCAACAUAUGCUAGACCUUCUCAAAUGGUACAAGUUAGCAUGCAGUAAAGCAAAAUUUUUAAAUUAACCCUAGUAUUUUACCCUCUGGGCAGUAGAACUAGAACUUAGAGGAAGUAAGUUAUAAACUGUAGAAGUAAUAUGAUUCCAUGUGACAAGUCAUAAACUGAAUUUCUCCCAAAGACUUACAGAUUUUUACAGUGUUAAAUAUCACUGUAGUUAUUAGAUCUUGCAUGAAAACUCCAAGGAAACAAACUGUAGCAUAAAUGUAACAUCUGAGACUUAAGAUUUAUGUUCUGGGAACUGACUGAAACCACACAAGGAGAAGAUUCAUGUAGCAAAAUGUUGCAAGGACAUCCCUGCUAAAUGCCUUGUGGAAAGUGCUAAGCAAACUGGAAUAGUUCCAAAAUAUGUAGGUGGGAUUGCUCUUCUCAAUGCUGGGAUUUACUCCAUUAUUGUCCAAGUGACUCAGCUGAAAUUACCCACAAUCUACUAGGCAUACUUUAUUUCAAUACAUUUUGCCCUGGCCUUUCCUCUCUGUGGCUACAGGGCCUUAAUUCACCUAAAUUCCUAAAAUGGUGGUGCCAAGUGGUCCUGAUAACACCACUGCACUUUCCAUAGCCAAAUAUUAUGUACUCAUCUGCAUUUUCAGGACAGUGUGUCACUGCCUUCUGUCAACAUUUUCUUUGUUGAUCUACUGACAAGAGAAAGAUACUGCCUUCCCUGCUUUUGGACUGAGCUCCUUCUCUUCUGUGACUUUGCCAGGUGCUAAAUGACCUUGAAACUGAUUCCCAAACACAGAAAAGCAGUUAUUUGAAGCCAUGAUGCUUAAUUAAACAGUCAAUCCAUGCAUCCUGUUUGCUCUUACUGUAGAAGAGCAAAUAGGUCUUUUGUCAUUCAAAGAUGGAUUGGGCUAGAUCAGCUUUGUGCAGAUAAAAACACAAGGUUUCCACUUCUGUAUCUCACAUCUAUGUAGCAGGAUGAUAUCCCCUGAUGCUGUAGUGCACCACUUUUACAGAAAACAGGCUGUUCUUCCUGCCUUUUAAUCUAGAAUACAGUUUAACUUAAAUAUUGGAUCAGGAUUUGGUCAGUCAAUUCACAGCAGUUCAUGUGAUCUCAAAUGAAGAUUAAAAUCCAACCCAAUGCAUGGAUUGCAGUACUUUUUUUAAGGCAGCCAGUGCCAGUUGCUUCAGCAGAAGGUUUAAGAAGCUCCUUAGAGGACAAGUAUAACAUAUUCUUGAAUUCUACCUCUGAGCAUUUGAGGGGCUCUGAAACAUUGUGGUUUAUACCUCUAAGUUUUUCAGUCCUGUCAAAAAAAAGUCAAACACCCUCAUUACCCUCCUAACUGCCCAGUGAUGCUUUGGAACCUAACUCUCCACAAUUCCUAUUGACAGGGAUAUUGCAGCUUGGCUUAAGGUGGCACCUUCCUCUGCUCUUACAAAUCUGCCAUUUGUAAUUGGCUUGCUUUCAAUUUCACCGUGUUUCUCUUAUUCACCUGUCAAACCAAGAUACACACUGGAGCUCCUAAGCACUUUUCAUCUUCUGGUUCUAGUAUUUCACUCAGUAAAUGGGAUGCCUGUACUCUAAAUGUUCCCCUCCAUCUCUUCUUGCUCCUCAGGGAAGGAAGCCCAGGCAUGUUGGCCACCAAGAGAUGCUUUGGCCAGGUACCAUGCAGGUCAGAGCAUCCAGUUCCCCUAAGUCUAGGUGCAGCUCUGGUGCUCUUUCUCUAUAUUCUGUUUGGGUAAAGUUCUCUGUAUAAUAUUUUACUUUAACAUAAAAUUUCCUAUAUUUAUCUCUGUUUUAAUAAAUAUUUAAUUCUCAUAUAAAUACCUUACUAUGCUCUUUGAGAUGAAGCAAAACAUACAAUG